CAAUGAGUGCAUCAAGAAGUUUCCUGCGCGUCCCUAGUUACUGGCUAACUGGUCAGAAUAUUGCCACGUUGAUCAAGUGGUGCAAUGCAACUGAACAUCAAUAGACACAAUUGAGGUUACGUUGUGCUGUUAACAAACUGUAGUUCAUCAGUCCUGUGGCAAUGAAAUUAAGUCUCAGAAAAUGUAUCGGCUCAGUAAUCAGUCGCCUGAACCAGACCCGUAUGCAUAUAGAGAGCCCUGAUAAUCUAACCUGUUUAGGAGGAAGUGACAUAGUCGCGGGAUUGUAACGGUACACGGAGGUUAUUCUGUCCAUCGUGUCUGUGCCAGCCCUCUGAGCAUUUUGAUUUAGUGUUAAACUGGCUUCCCCCAAACCUUGUACAUUGUUUCUAUUUAAAUAGUCAUUCAAUGCCCUCUUGGAACCUGUUUUAAUCGCUCACUGGGAGCAUCCAUUAUCGACAGUCUUUCUGACCCAUAGUCUAAUGGAAAAGAAGCGAAUCAUACAUUCUGUUACCCCAAAAGGUUUGUCACCUUCGCCUUGACUGAGCAAAGCCUUCGCUCUGUUCAAAGUGCACAGAAAUAAAUUGAUAGGUUUCCCAGAUCACACAUUAUAAUGCAGAAAGGGAUGACUGUGCUCAACCAAGCAUUCCUGCGAUGUCCACCCUUCGGUCAAGCACAUUUUAGUUCAAUUUAUAUCUGCGGGUGCUUUUUUUUUGUAAUCACCCGCAGGGAAUACUCGUAAAAAUAAAGCAAGAAAGUUGUUGCAACUCUA